rnacentral:rRNA from 1 species
GACGAACGCUGGCGGCGUGCCUAAUACAUGCAAGUCGAACGAGUGGCGGACGGGUGAGUAACACGUGGGAACCUACCCAUCAGUGGGGGAUAACUACUGGAAACGGUGGCUAAUACCGCCUACUAUCGCCUGAACCCAUGUGGGAGUGGCUGGGAGGUGGGGUAAAGGCUCACCAAGGCGACGAUUCCUAGCUGGUCUGGGAGGAUGAUCAGCCACACUGGGACUGAGACACGGCCCAGACUCCUACGGGAGGCAGCAGUGGGGAAUAUUGCACAAUGGGCGAAAGCCUGAUGCAGCCAUGCCGCGUGUAUGAAGAAGGCCUUAGGGUUGUAAAGUACUUUCAGCGGGGAGGCGUUACUCGCAGAAGAAGCACCGGCUAACUCCGUGCCAGCAGCCGCGGUAAUUC